rnacentral:lncRNA from 1 species
AGAGAGUGAGAUGUUAACAGAACAGUAUAGCAUAUGCUGAACAUAACAGCCUGCAGAGCCUUAUGUGUGGGUUUGAAUCCUAUUUCUUCUGCAUAUCCACUUAGAGGCUGGGUAAACUUGGACAAGCCACUUAACCACUGUGCCUUAUUUCACUCAUCUGCAGAGUGGAUAUAAUAAUAAUAAUAAUAUCAUCCUUAUAGGGUUGUAAUGAGGAUUAAACAAAUGUAUAUAUGCAAAUAAUAUGGCAAAUACUAUAAAAUUUUAGCUAUUAUUUUUAUCAAUGAGCUUUUUAAAUUAAUUGCUAAUAUUAACAUGAUUUAUUGAAUUAUAUUGAGUUAGUUCAGGUGUCCUUCAGUUUAACUGAUCAAUGGCUACACACAUAUCAAACAUGUAAAUAAUAGCAUCAAUAAGCUGUUUUUAAACAGUGCUGAUGCACCACUGAGCUAAAUAAACGUGCGCAGCAGUGAUGAAUUAUCCUAGUAAGUAGUUUAUUUUAUUUCCCCUGGAAGACUCUUGUCUCCUAGUAAUCUAUUUUUUAUUUGUUUGCUCUGUUAAUUGCCAGCCUAUUUAUAUUUGACUUGCAAAUCUGUGUUUUCUCACACCAAGUUCCAUUUUCUCCUACAAAUAUUUAUUAACAACCUACUAUAUACCUAACACAGAUAUAACUGACAUAAACACUUCUCUAAAAUAUCUCACAGUCUAGAAGGGAAGAUUAGGAAGUAAAAGAAUACAGCUGGCAUUUCUGGGCUGUGAUAGAAGACUGCUUAGCUACAGUGCAAUGAGACAGGAGAAGAGACUCCUCUUACUCAGACUCGAUGCCCUCAAAAUCUAAUAUACAAAGAGAGCAACACAUUUGGUUAAUUUUGGAAAAUGUUCAACCCAGGGAUUCUAGAACUCAUUAAGAGGCAAGACCUACAUUUAAUAGGUAAAUGUCUGGCAGAGUCAAAUUCACUCUUUAACCUGGAUGGCUUUCCUAACUCUUCCAUGUUCAAGGCACUGAUAAUCUGGCUGCACCAGUA